GGGGCGGUGGUGUAAUGGUAACAUCGCAGCCUCCAAAGCUGUGGCCGGGGGUUCGAUUCCCCCUCGCCCCC
rfam:Naegleria gruberi genomic scaffold NAEGRscaffold_38, whole genome shotgun sequence.